CUUCUGCCUUAUAAAGGCCACAAACCACCGCGCUUGGUUAUUGGGAUAUGUCUGAACACACGGAGAUGAUAGCAGCUAUCAGCGCCCUUUAUACGAUUGUGUGUUUGACCACUCACGUCCACGCCUUUGCUGGAAUACAGAGAUGCAUCAACUGCAAAGCCGACGACAAUGCUACCCACGUGGUAUUUUCUAAUGGAGAAGUCGAUUGUUAUAAUAGGGCUCGCAAUUAUUCUACCGUCCACUGGUCUCUUACUUCGGGAUGCAGAGCGUUUGUUAAUCAACCAUACAACACAAUGUUUUCAUCUGAUACCGGUGACUGGCAGGCCUGGAUAACGUCGAAUUCAGUUUGUGAGGAGUUCAUCUUACAUGAGUACAUUAAUCAAAAUGUUGUGACGACCUGGUUCAUGUACCAAACUUCUACCUACGCUUCCUCGCUUGGCCAUUGUUUCCGGGAAUGUUUUGAUGACCAGGGGUGCAGAACAUUCAUGUAUUCCUCAAACACGUGUUAUAUAUACGGAUGUACUUCUGGUGCUUGCCUGUCCUCUGGCGGAUCAAUGACUGUUUACCAACGCGUUUGUA